rnacentral:rRNA from 5 species
UAGUCUCCUGAAGGAACGUUGAAGACGACGACGUUGAUAGGCCGGGUGUGUAAGCGCAGCGAUGCGUUGAGCUAACCGGUACUAAUGAACCGUGAGGCUUAACCUUACAACGCCGAAG